rnacentral:rRNA from 1 species
UAGUGAGUUUGAUCCUGGCUCAGGAUGAACGCUGGCGGUCUGCUUAACACAUGCAAGUCGAACGACAAGUUGGAAAUACUUGAGUGGCGGACGGGUGAGUAACGCGUGAGAAUCUGCCUUCUGGGUCGGGACAACCACUAGGAAACGGUGGCUAAUACCGGAUAUGCCUAGUGGGUAGAAAGAUUAAUUGCCAGAAGAAGAGCUCGCGUCUGAUUAGCUAG